UAGGGUGUAGCUCAGUGGUAGAGCAUGUGCUUAGCAUGCACAAGGCUAAAAAACAUCUAUUUUAUGAUUUUAUUCUUUAU
rnacentral:tRNA from 1 species